GACAGAGGAUGCAAGCGUUAUCCGGAAUGAUUGGGCGUAAAGCGUCUGUAGGUGGUUUGAAAAGUCUCCUGUCAAAGAUCAGGGCUUAACCCUGGGCCGGCAGGAGAAACUCUCAGGCUAGAGUUUGGUAGGGGCAGAGGGAAUUCCCGGUGGAGCGGUGAAAUGCGUAGAGAUCGGGAGGAACACCAAAGGCGAAAGCACUCUGCUGGGCCAUUACUGACACUGAGAGACGAAAGCGAGGGGAGCAAAUGGGAUUAGAUACCCCAGUAGUCCUCGCCGUAAACGAUGGAUACUAGGUGUUGGGUGGGUUCAAAUCAUUCAGUACCGUAGCUAACGCGUGAAGUAUCCCGCCUGGGGAGUAUGCUCGCAAGAGUGAA
rnacentral:rRNA from 1 species